rnacentral:rRNA from 1 species
AACGAACGCUGGCGGCAUGCCUAACACAUGCAAGUCGAACGAGACCUUCGGGUCUAGUGGCGCACGGGUGCGUAACGCGUGGGAACCUGCCCUUAGGUUCGGAAUAACUCCCCGAAAGGGGUGCUAAUACCGGAUAAUGUCUUCGGACCAAAGAUUUAUCGCCUUUGGAUGGGCCCGCGUUGGAUUAGCUAGUUGGUAGGGUAAAAGCCUACCAAGGCGACGAUCCAUAGCUGGUCUGAGAGGAUGAUCAGCCACACUGGGACUGAGACACGGCCCAGACUCCUACGGGAGGCAGCAGUGGGGAAUAUUGGACAAUGGGCGAAAGCCUGAUGCAGCAAUGCCGCGUGAGUGAUGAAGGCCGUAGGGUUGUAAAGCUCUUUUACCCGGGAUGAUAAUGACAGUACCGGGAGAAUAAGCUCCGGCUAACUCCGUG